CGGAAUGUAGCUCAAUAUGGCAGAGCGGUUGGCGCAACCCGUCAAUGGACUUUGCUGGUUCAAGUCCAGCCGUUCCGA
rnacentral:tRNA from 1 species